GUCCUUUCUUUCCGUUAUAGAGUAUCUCCCCUUACGCGUGGUUUCAGUUUCGCUUUCGGCAGUUUCAGAAACCCGCCAGUCAACCCUGGCAGGAAGCAGAUGAUUCUGACGAAUCAUCAGAAAGCCAAUAGCAGCCUAACUCUGCGUCAGGAAGCUGCGUCAUUCCCCGCACUUCGUUUCUUCACGUAGGCGUUUUAUCAUUUCACGUCAGCACAGGAAGAAGGAGGGAAACUAAGGCUGAGAGGUGAUUUGAUCAAGGUCAUCCAGCAAGUGUUGGAUGGAGGUCUAGAGUCCAGAAUUUGACUAUUAAAGAGCAGAAUCAAGAAAAGGCAGAGUUGGCUCUGGCUGGUGCAUGGAGACGAGAUUCUGAAGAGGACCAGAGCAGAAGGAGGGAAAUCAGCAGAAGCAGGAGUUGCAGUAAUGCAGCCUGUCUUGGGGAGGACACCAGCAGGAACCCAUGAGGCUAGCCCUUCAACUUGUUCAGGAGGAAAACUGUCGAAUUGAGAGCUCAGAGAGAAUCAUUGUUUAAAUCUCAGGGAUACUGGUCUAGAGAUUACAGAAAGCAGGCAUGCCACCACUUACAAGGAAGACGUGCAGGUUAUUGAAUUCAUAUCCUGAACUACUGUUGACCAGACAAACCAAAGCUCAUGCCCUGAGAAUGGUGGGCUGUCCAGAACAUGGAGCUAGUUACCUGCUCACAAUGACUAACCAUUAAAGACUGAUAACUUGCUGUCCUUGGAAACUCUUUCUCGUGACCUUACAUCAUGAAAAUUCACCUUGCCUUAAAGAGGAAGUGAACCCCCCUGACCAGGAUGCUAUUAAAUCAAUUGGAGAAAAAGACAUCCUCAUUAACAAGUAAAAAUGUCACCUGAAUCUGAAGAGCAGCCCACCCAUGUUCAUCUUUAGUUUGUGACGCUGACAUCAACAGUGGCAGUUGCAUGUUAACCCAGUGCCCUUAUCAAAACAGAGAAAUGAAGAGGGUCAGUGCCAAGUCAGUGACUUCCCACAUGGUUGCAAGAGGUAGAGCCAGGAUUUGAAGCUCAAGUUCUGAUUCCAGAGCCCUUGCCGUUUUAUCAUGUGGCCCCACUGCAGUUUGUGUAUAUUUGUCCAACCUAUGGUGGAACUUUCAAGAAAUGGAUGGAGUUUCUUUGUAUUCUUCCCUCAUCUAUGGAUAAAUGCAGAGGACUCAGGAGCCCUAAGGAAUGGUGAAUCUCAAGGUUAUAUAUACAUGGAAAACAUCCUAAGAACUAGUCUUGAAAGCAAAGAAAGAAACAUGAUCAGAAUGGGAAUAAGCCUUGAAAAGAUGAAACAGGACUUCUGCCAAGAGAGGAGUAUUGUACCUAUGACAAGAAUAAAAAUGAGAUUGGCUUUUUGUUAAGAUUCCCAACUUUGGGCUGAAAAUGUAAAGUUACAGGAACAUCUGGAGAGGGAAAAAAAGUGGCUUUGGAAAGCUGUUCAACUCGCAAAACACUGAGGCUGAGCAAACAUUCCAGCUUUCCCUCGCUGGCCAUCACUCACACCCAAUGUAUUUAUUCUUUUUCUCCGACAAGAGAGCAACAUUUGGAAUAGCUCAAGCUGCUGAGUUAAUCAUCGAGACGCCGUGGGGAUGUUUUAAGCCAUGGGCCUACUCUCCUCGUAUGAUUUGGAAUCAACACAACCACCAGGCUGAGGGCCACUUUAAAGAGAAGCCUAGCCAUGGCAGCAGAGAUUGGGUAUGAUGACUUCAGACCAUGUUCCAGCCAUGCUUGUCAAGGAGGAUAAUUGAGGCUGAGGUUAAAAGACAUUAAGAGCCUUAAUGAAAGCAAACUGUGAGCAGCUGUUCCCAAAGUUAUUAUGUGUUUGGCUUGGACUUCUGCUUCCAUGGAUUCCUAGGAUUCAUUUGCAAAAUAACUUGCUUCAAUAUUUACACAUUGGCCGAAGCUGAUUGAGCGGGAAUAAUGAGCCUUCGAUAUCUGCACUGCACAAGUAGAAGGAUGAAACUCUUGGGAGAAGAGAACAACAAGUUUACAAAGAUAAGAGAAAGCAGCAACAUGGUGGAUUUGUUCUUCUGAUGAGCUUCAAGUGAGUGUAUGUGUGUGGUUUCCUUAAGCCACUGGGAAAGUUUUUAAUGCUCAUAGAAACUAAAAAGUCCUGGAGAGUUACAGAAAGCCCCAGCAGUCACCAGAUGACACUUGAAAGAAACUGAAGCCAUAUAUCCACCCCAGAAAGAGAUGGGGAAAGGACAUCAGUAGGGGUCCAGCUGCACUGGGGAUUUUUUGUUUUUGUUGUUUUUUCCCGUACAAAAGUACAUGUUGCAGACAUAUCUUCAUCAAUCAUCCUCCAAACACAAUUACACAAUCAUGUUGGCAGCUUAUGUCCUUAUUUUCACAUACAUUCUUAUAUGGUAGCCUUCUCUCUCUCUCUCUCUCUCUCUCUCUCUCUCUCUCUCUCUCUUCUCUCUCUCUCUCUCUCUGUUUCUUUCUGUAGUCAGUCUUGCUAACUCUCCAUGUAACACUCCUUGUCCUUUACCAAAUUACUCAAAGCCACAGCAGCAUAAAAGUUGAAGAGUUGUCAUCUUUAGGUGUUGGGGGCAUCUUGAGUUGCAACUUGAGACUGAGUCCACUCCGAGAAACACACAUCUCUGCUGUUGUUUUUACUCAUGUUGAAGCCACUUGCCAUUAAGACUUUUUCAGGGGAAAAAGAGGUGAUAGUGACAAACUUACUAGUUAAGAACAAAUGAACCCAGUUCUAAAAGGUGUGUGGUAAUAUCCACUUUUGUUGUCUUUCUUAUUCAGUGUGUGCCAGCUUAAUAAAAUAAUCCCAUUUACAGACAUGCUGCCCAAAGAUGUCUACCAUCCACAUCUGAGCUUUCUUCUUCUCAUUAAACAGACUGUCUUAGAGUAGGAGAAAGUAGUGUCUUUGGGUCUCAACUCCAAAUGCCUAUGGGAGAGAAUUUUGGGGCCCAGGUUGGAUUUGAUAAACUAGCUUGCUCCAGUUAGCUAUAACAGGGAUUGGGCUCAGAAGUGGAAGCAGAGAUAAUGAGUCUAGUCCUGUGCACUGUGGAUAAAGCCAGUUACUAGUGGGUGGCAGUUCUUUGAGACACAACUAAAAAGCAUUUGUUAAAGGUGCAUAUAAAGACGGUCCUGACUUUGCUUCUAAUAACCCAGAUAUCUCCAGUAGUUCAUUCACAUUAUCUGUGACUUACUUUCCCUCUACUUAAAGCAAUAAUUUGAAAUAGAUAAUAUUUAAACCCUUUUCCAGCUGUAAAACUAUGAAAAUUGUACCUACAAUCUAAGUGCUCUUUUUUUUUCAGUUGUAACUGUAACUUCUGGUUGAACAUAUCAAAUAGAAACCAAGCAUUUAUCUCAGGUCCCUUCUAAACUCCAACUAAAAUAGUAAUGAAGAAAAGAAGUGGCAUAAACUUACAAAAAUUAAAAACAACAUGGUUGGAAAGGACAACAAGUGAGAAAUGACAGUAAAACUCCAGAAGCUGUAAAGCUAAUGGACGGAUGAUGAUUGACUUGGUAGAGUGGGAGACAAAAUCUUAGCCUAACAAGGCCAGCAAGAAGGUAGCCAAUCUAUCCAUUGAACACCUGAAAGUCUCAAGAAAAGAGACACUAGUUACCUCUGAUGAAGAGGGUGCAAAAGAAGGUUGAAAACAUGAGUAUUGCUUGAAAGUCUUUAUAAGGAACUAUGAGAACCUCGGAAGGACCUCCCUGCCCUGCAUAUAUAUCAGAGAUACUCAAAUCCCCCUUCCUAAGGGGCCAGAUGACCUGAAAUUUACUCUGAAGAAACUCAACCAGAGGGGCCCUGGAUCCAGACCUUGAAAAGGCAGGGGUGAGGUGCUAUAAUGAAACUGAGGAGCUCUACUAGGAAAAUCCUCUUUCUGACACAGACCCUUUCCCCUUGGCUUCCAGAAUACCAGCAACCAGGCAGAAGAUUGGAGAGCUACUUUCUGGGGAAAUAUAAUGACUUGUGAAAAACACUUAUACUGACCAUUUGGAGUGUCCUAGAAAAAUAGCCAGGUUUUUAACUCCCUAACCAUCAUUGAUAGACUGCACCAUGUCUGCCAUUAUCUACAUGAACAGAUAGACAAUGAUCUCAGGACAUGUGAAAAAAGCCUCUAAUACAAAAACCAGAGACCAAAACCAGUAAACAAAAGAAAGUAGUGAGGGGAUUUGGAAACAAUACAGAAAACAGAAGAAAACAUAAAAAAAAAUCUAUAUUAUUUCCCAAGAGAUGAGAGAAGCUGUUACAUAGUAAAGCAGUAAGAAAGAUAGAAAUAAACACUCACAGAAUACAAAGUAGCUCCAGGAAAUACUAGCAGGUAUAGCCCAAACAACACAUUCAGGGAAAGGAUUGAAAGUUAAAAUUAAGAGUUGAGAAGGGAGAAAAAAAAUACAGAUGGAAAGUAGAAUAGAAUAAGAAAAUUAGGAGCCAUCUAAGAUAUCAAACAUGGGAUUGAUAACUAAUUAUUGACUCCAGGAAAAAUGGAAAUUUAUAUAAGAAAGGAAAUGUAAUCAGAAAAUACGAGAUGGUUUUGAAGUGAACAAUACUGGUAUAGUUGUCAUCAUCAUCAUCAUCAUAAACCAUUUAAUAUCUACUUAAUGAAGGUUGUAGUGUACCUGCUUUUUGUUGUAUUGUAGUGAGGCUGGAUGUAUGAAAAUGUAUUGCUUAUCAUUUUUUAUUAUAAGUUCUUACUGGGGCGCCUGGGUGGCACAGUCGGUUAAGCGUCUGACUUCAGCCAGGUCACGAUCUCGCGGUCCGGGAAUUCGAGCCCUGCGUCAGGCUCUGGGC